AACUGAUACUACCUGCGGGAACCUGCGGAAGGAUCAUUAGAGAGAGAUCAAGUGAGCGUGAGCAUUUUGCUUGCGACUCACAUCCAUCCACACACACACACACUUACAUGAAAAUGUUGAACCGCCAAAGGGGAAGGGGAUUUGCAGAUGCGGCAACUAAUCUACUUGGUGCGGAUAUACCCCCUCCGGGAACCCGUGGGUCCCAUUCCCACGCUGGACCGCGUCGCUUGGAAGACCGGC
rnacentral:misc_RNA from 1 species